AUUGAACGCUGGCGGCAUGCCUUACACAUGCAAGUCGAACGGUAACGGGCCUUCGGGUGCCGACGAGUGGCGAACGGGUGAGUAAUGUAUCGGAACGUACCUUUCAGUGGGGGAUAACGUAGCGAAAGUUACGCUAAUACCGCAUAUUCUGUGAGCAGGAAAGAAGGGGAUCGCAAGACCUUGCGCUGAUUGAGCGGCCGAUAUCAGAUUAGCGAGUUGGUGAGGUAAAGGCUCACCAAGGCGACGAUCUGUAGCGGGUCUGAGAGGAGGAUCCGCCACACUGGAACUGAGACACGGUCCAGACUCCUACGGGAGGCAGCAGUGGGGAAUUUUGGACAAUGGGGGCAACCCUGAUCCAGCCAUGCCGCGUGGGUGAAGAAGGCCUUCGGGUUGUAAAGCUCUUUCGGCCGGGAAGAAAUCGUAUCAGCUAAUACCUGGUGCGGAUGACGGUACCGGCAUAAGAAGCACCGGCUAACUACGUGCCAGCCGCCGCAGUAACAC
rnacentral:rRNA from 1 species